rnacentral:rRNA from 1 species
CCUACGGGGGGCAGCAGUGGGGAAUAUUGGACAAUGGGCGAAAGCCUGAUCCAGCCAUGCCGCGUGUGUGAAGAAGGCCUUCGGGUUGUAAAGCACUUUCAGUGGGGAAGAAAGCCUUGGGGCUAAUACCCUCGAGGAAGGACAUCACCCACAGAAGAAGCACCGGCUAACUCCGUGCCAGCAGCCGCGGUAAUACGGAGGGUGUGAGCGUUAAUCGGAAUUACUGGGCGUAAAGCGCGCGUAGGCGGUCUGAUAAGCCGGUUGUGAAAGCCCCGGGCUCAACCUGGGAACGGCAUCCGGAACUGUCAGGCUAGAGUGCAGGAGAGGAAGGUAGAAUUCCCGGUGUAGCGGUGAAAUGCGUAGAGAUCGGGAGGAAUACCAGUGGCGAAGGCGGCCUUCUGGACUGACACUGACGCUGAGGUGCGAAAGCGUGGGUAGCAAACAGGAUUAGAUACCCUAGUAGUC